rnacentral:tRNA from 1 species
GCCUGGGUGGCUCAUUCAGUUAAGUGUCUGACUUCAGCUCAGGUCACGAUCCCACAAUUCGUGGGUUCAAGACCCACAUCGGGCU